rnacentral:rRNA from 1 species
UGGGAAUUUUGGACAAUGGGCGAAGCCUGAUCCAGCAAUGCCGCGUGUGUGAAGAAGGCCUUCGGGUUGUAAAGCACUUUUGUCCGGAAAGAAAUCCUUGGCUCUAAUACAGUCGGGGGAUGACGGUACCGGAAGAAUAAGCACCGGCUAACUACGUGCCAGCAGCCGCGGUAAUACGUAGGGUGCAAGCGUUAAUCGGAAUUACUGGGCGUAAAGCGUGCGCAGGCGGUUUGCUAAGACCGAUGUGAAAUCCCCGGGCUCAACCUGGGAACUGCAUUGGUGACUGGCAGGCUAGAGUAUGGCAGAGGGGGGUAGAAUUCCACGUGUAGCAGUGAAAUGCGUAGAGAUGUGGAGGAAUACCGAUGGCGAAGGCAGCCCCCUGGGCCAAUACUGACGCUCAUGCACGAAAGCGUGGGGAGCAAACAGGAUUAGAUACCCUGGUAGUCCACGCCCUAAAACGAUGUCAACUAGUUGUUGGGGAUUCAUUUCCUUAGUAACGUAGCUAACGCGUGAAGUUGACCGCCUGGGGAGUACGGUCGCAAGAUUAAAACUCAAAUGAAUUGACGGGGUCAUAGCUGUUUCCU